GAUGAACGCUGGCGGCGUGCCUAAUACAUGCAAGUCGAGCGAACAGACGAGGAGCUUUCUCCUCUGACGUUGGCGGCGGACGGGUGAGUAACACGUGGAUAACCUACCUCUAAUACUGGGAUAACUUCGGGAAACCGCAGCUAAUACCGGCUAAUAUAUUGUACCGCAUGGUUCAAUAGUUAAAGACGGUUUUGCUGUCACUUAUAGCUGGAUCCGCGCCGGAUUAGCUAGUUGGUAAGGUAACGGCUUACCAAGGCGACGAUGCGUAGCCGACCUGAGAGGGUGAUCAGCCACACUGGAACUGAGACACGGUCCAGACUCCUACGGGAGGCAGCAGUGGGGAAUAUUGCGCAAUGGGCGAAAGCCUGAACGAGCAACGCCGCGUGGGUGAAGAAGGUCUUCGGGUUGUAAAACCCUGUUAUUGGGGAAGAAAAAAAGGGGAAGAAAACACGGCCGUUCUGACGGUACCCAAAGAAAAAGCCCCGGCUAACUUCGUG
rnacentral:rRNA from 1 species